rnacentral:rRNA from 1 species
AUUGAACGCUGGCGGCAGGCCUAACACAUGCAAGUCGAACGAGUGGCGGACGGGUGAGUAAUGUCUGGGAAACUGCCCGAUGGAGGGGGAUCACUACUGGAAACGGUCUCUAAUACCGCAUACCAUGGGAUGUGCCCAGGUGGGAGUAGAUAGUAGGUGGGGUAACGGCUCACCUAGGCGACGAUCCCUAGCGGGUCUGAGAGGAUGACCAGCAAAACUGGAACUGAGACACGGUCCAGACCCCUACGGGAGGCAGCAGGGGGGAAUAUUUCACAAUGGGCGCAAGCCUGAUGCAGCCAUGCCGCGUGUAUGAAGAAGGCCUUCGGGUUGUAAAGUACUUUCAGUGAGGAGGCGUUACUCGCAGAAGAAGCAUCGGCUAACUCCGUGCCAGCAGCCGCGGUAAUUC